AAUUACUAAAAAUAGUUUCAAAUUAAAAUUCACGAACUAGGUUGAGCUAAUUGAUUUAAUAUAUUAGUAUUUAUGAUAAAUGUCUCAUUAUUUAGGAAUUAUUAUCAAUUAGGGGUGAAAUAUUAUACAAAUACUAAGAUAUCUUGAUGUAUAAUAAAUAUAAUAGUAUUAAGACAACUAUAAAGUGGUUAGGCUUUAUAGAAUCAUUAUUUAUAUUACCUUUAUAAUAAAUUAUAUAACUAUAAUUAUUUAAGCUACCUUAUUAUAUAACUUAAAAUAUAUAUGUAUAUUACUAUACAAUAGUGUUGAAUUAUUUAUUUUAAUUAUAAUGUAAUUAUUAGUAUAGAACUAGAUUAAAUGAAGGAACUCGGCAAACGAAUUCUUCAACUGUUUACCAAAAACAUUGCCUUAUGAAUUAUAUAAGGUUAACCCUGCUCAAUGGAUUUUUCUAAAUAGCCGCAGUACAUUGACUGUGCAAAGGUAGCAUAAUAAUUUGGCUUAUAAUUGAAGUCUGGUAUGAAGGGGUCACUGGAGAAAUGCUGUCCCCAAGUAUUUACAUGAAAUUAAUUAGAAAGUGAAAAUGCUUUCAGUUUAAUAUUAGACGAGAAGACCCUAGAAAUUUUGUAUAAAUUAACUUAAAUCUAUUUUGUUGGGGCGACAUGAUAGCAAAAAAACCUAUCUAAAUCUAUCAGGAUUUUAUAUUAAGUAUAAAUAAAUUACUCUAGGGAUAACAGCAUAAUAUAAUAAAGUUUGUGACCUCGAUGUUGGACUAGGAAAAUCACUAUUUAGAAGAUACUGGUUAAUGCUCUGUUCGAGCAGUGGCUCCUACAUGAUCUGAGUUCAGACCGG
rnacentral:rRNA from 1 species